UCGUUUCUUCAACCGGAAGUGAUCGUCAGCACCUGUGUUUAAUUAGCCUAAUUGAAUCCACAUGCUACAAACCUGGAGACAAAGCACUAGGAUGGUGAUGGAUUCCCCUGCAGAUGUUGGCAAGGACCCUUCUGCUGACGAGAUGAGGGUAUCUGUAAAUGGAUUUCCUCCUGGCUGGCGGUCUGACCCCGGUCCUCCUCCUGUGACCCCGUGGAUGAUUGCUGUGACUGAGACGUGUUUGAUCCCUGCACUGAUGCUGGGCUUUUGAUGGCUGCCCCACUUUGAUGCCACGACAAGAUUGAAUCCAACCACCCUCUGUGAAACACACACACACAGCUUCAUCUUUGCGCACACUGAGCGGGAAGUUCACACACGCCCAGAUCUCCUUUCAACCCUCCCGUCCCGCCCCGGGUUCAUGAGAGAAAUCACAGUCCCACCGUGAUCUUACGCAACGCUCGGCCGUAAUAAGCUUGAAGUGAGUUUUUAAACAUACCUGUCACAACACAAACACACUCAUCCUCCGACCUCUCCAUCCCUCGCUCUCUCUCUCUCUCUCUCUCUCUCUCUCUCUCUCUCUCUCUCUCUCUCUC